CAAAAAGUAAAUAAAAUGAUUAACAUGUUGCAACACUAAUAAAAUGUUGCAACACUAAUAAAAGUCACUAUAAUAUUUUAAAAUAUCAAAUAUAUAACAAAUUUGUGAUAUUGUUAAGGAAAUAAUAAUUAAAUCUACAAAGCCAAGAAAAAUAAGUAAGAUAAAACUUUACCUAUCACACUCCCACAUUGUCAUUAGGAUCAUUAGCACUCUCUGUAGAUGAAGAACUAUUAGUGCUCAUGUUCACAAUGUUUUGACCAAGUUGAUCCAUAGUGACAUCAAAAUUUUCUAUAUAAUUUUUUAAAAAUAAAUCUUAAUUAGAAACAAGUCCUUACAGCAAAACCUUAGAGUCAAACACAGCAAUUUUGUUGAAUUCAGUGAUUAACCUUGUUGGAUUGAAAAAUACUGCAAUCUUAACUAUUAUAAUUAGAAUCACUAAAAUAAUAAAAAUAAUUAUAAUAUUCUAACCAAUAGAUUUAGCUAAUAUUAAUGGCCAUCAUACAAUUUCGAAUCCUCCAAUGCUUUACAACUUUGCGAGUCAAUUCUUGAACAAACAACCUUACCAUCACUUUAAAAUCUUAGUUUAUUAUUGUUUUGAUAAUUUAAAAUCUUAAUCAAAUAGCUUGUGUGAACAUUAUUGCUUAACCAUGAACGUAAUAAUAAACGAAGAUUAAAAAAAUUAAAGAAAAUUCAUUUCAUUGGUUAAAUCACUUACAAGCACACAAAUUUUUUUUUUAUCUACGAGAGUAACAGUUAGCACAAAACCCAUUGCUAAAAAGUUAAAAAAAGAAAAAGAAUUACGGCUUACUGUGUGAUUGUGUUAGAUAAGACGACGUCGGCUGAGAGAUGAAGAAAUUAUUGAGGGCGGAGACUAGAGACAAGGGAGGGAUAUUGGUUGAGAGAUGAAGGGAAAGAGAGGCGAAAUGAUAAAAUGUAAAGAUUAGGGUUGGCUGCCCUAAUUCUUGUUUCACUUAUAUGGCUUGUUUUAUUAUCGUCAAGAAUUACUAUAUUAACCUUCAAAUUUUAAAUUAUAUAUAUAUAUAUAUAUAUAUAUAAAUGAAUAUACCGUAUUUGAUUUAUUUAUUACCCAUUUAUUAAACGAAUCCUAAACGAAUAAAUGAAUCAAUGUCCUUAGUCCCAAAUUCAAUUUGUUUAAUUAGCGAAUUAAAUCGAAUUUACCCAUUUAUUAAAUGAAUUAAUUUCUUCAAACCCAAACCCAUUUAAUUUGCAUUGAAUAGAAUCGAAGAAACAAAUUCUAACUUAAUUGCCACCCUUAACCACACUUUUCAAAUUCUCGCAAAACCAAAUUAGUAUUAACUAGAGGAAAUCCAUAAACUAUAAGCAUAUUACAACAACCUCACAGUAACUCUCAAUUCUCCGGCACUAGACACAAAUUGUCACAAAUUACUAGUACUCCAAUUACAAAAAAAUAAAUAAACAAAGAGAUAGAUAAAAUUACUCCCCCUAACAAUGACAUCAAUUUGCAUGCUCCAUCAAUUAUUUGGGCUCCUCAAUCAUCCAUUCUUUAAUCAACCUAUUUGCAAGUAGUUACAAGAAUUCCUUAUUAAUCAGACAAAACUUAUUUCACCAUUCUUUCUCAAAUCUUCUCAACAUCGAAAGCCAAUUUCAUUCAACCAUUUUUUCAUCAAACAUGUUCAGCUAUUUUUUUUUAACAAUAUCUGGACAUUGGGUUUAAGAGUUCCCAAAGGUAUGACUUAUGAUUAACUUUUUAUUUUAUUCUUUUUUCAUUUUAUUCAAAUUACCAAAAAGAUAUAUUUUUUAACUAAUGUUCUUGUAAAGUGACUAGGUUACUACUAUCUUAUAGAUGCUGGAUGUUGAAGUAUUCUUUACAAUUGAUAGAGGAACACGAUAUCACUUGUCAGAAUGGAGAGAUGGGUGUGCUCCUAAGAACAAAGAAGAGUUCUUUAACACGAAACAUUCUUUGGCAAUAAACAUUAUAGAAUGAUGUUUCGAUUUACUCAAAAUGCAAUGGGCUAUACUAUGAAGUCUAUCUUUUUAUCCAAUCAAAACGUAGUGCCAUAUUAUUAUUGCUUGCUAUUUACUACAUAAUUUAGUUAGGAGAGAAAUGUCAAUAGAUCCCAUUGGAGCAUGAAUUACUUGAGAUAGAUGAUAAUAAAGUACAAGAUAGAAGUAACAUAACCAUUGUUGAAGCUUCAGAUCAAUGGAUUAGGUGGAGAAAUGAUUUAGCAGAUGCAAUGUAUAAUGAAUGGCUUGGAAACUGAGGCUAACAUAUUUUUCAUUAGGAUUUUAUUUCAGGGUUGUGACAUUAUAUUUAUGUAGUACUUUGUGAUUUGUUUAUCUAUCAAUUUAAAGUUGCAAUAUUUUUUUAAUAUUUUAAGUUAAGAAUUAUGGUAAUUUUACAGUUUAAAUUAUAUUUCAAAAAAUAUAAUGAAAUCAACAUAUAAGAAUGGAGGAGGAUGAAGGUACAAGCCACACUGGUGGAAACAAGGUGCGUAUAAGGCCAGCAUGGGCAAAUGUUGAAGAACAAGCACUGUUGGAUGCACUAGAUGCAGUGGUCGUAAGUGGUGGUCAUGCUGAUAAUGGAUUCAAAUCCGUUACAUUUAGACAUCUUGAAAAGGUACCAAAUCAAAAGUUGCCAAAUUGUGGUCCGAAUGCUCCUUCUCAUAUUGAGAGGUUAGGAAAUGUAAGAAACAAUGUGGGUUUAUAUUUGAGAUGCUGAACAUGAGUAAUUUUGGAUGGAAUGAUGUGAAAAAAUGGGUGGAGGUUGAUAAUGAUGAAGUUUGGAAUUCAUAUGUGUAGGUUAGUGAAAAUUUAAAAAAAAAUGGAUUUAUUUACUCUCAUUUAUAGGUUUUUAAAAUUUUCUUUUUAGAGAUUGAUAACUAUUUAGCAAUUGUUAUGUUUAGGUUUAUUAAAUUUUUGAAAUUUUGACUAUUUACUACAUUUAAAUUUAAUAUUUUUUACUAUUUACUGUAUCUAACUACAUCUUGAUUAAAUAUUUUGUAAUCUCAUAACACAAUAAUUAAGAAACUGGAGAAACAAGGCAUUCUCACUUUAUGAAAGAUUGGCAAACAUAUUUGGAAAGGACCGUGCUACUCAACAUGCAUGCUGAUACAAAAGACGAAGCAAAUCAAGAAGAAAUUAGCGAUGAUGAUAAUGAAAUAGAUGAUGGAUGUUCUCCAAUAUCAGCAACACCACUUUUAAGUUCUCAGCACAUUACUCGAUCACUCACAACAACGAAAUAGGAAGAGAUCUAGUCAGAGGGUGACCUGCAUGCUGGCAUUGAUACGAUUGCUAAUCUUAUCAGCCAAUCAUUUGAAAACAUGAAUACAAUAGCUCAACACAUGUUUGAUAACAAAAAAGAUCGUUUUGACAUUUUUUAUGAACUUUCAACAAUGUGACCUUCUAUUGAAGAAGAACUUCUAGCCCUAGAGUUAAUUCUAAAGGAACCCCAUAAUAUUUUAGUUUUUAAGUCCUCACAAGGUGAGUGUAAGUUAACAUUUGCUCAUAAGCUCUUACGAAGAGCACGAGGUUGAUAUGUUGCUUAAAACAACUGCGAUAUUUUAAAGUCGAUAAUAUUUUAGUAUAGAAAAGAAGUGUGUACUAAACACGACCCAAUAUUUUAUUAUAGUAUUAUAGCAUGUGAGUGCAUGUGUGUACUUAACACAACCAUAUAUUUUGGUAUAGUAUUGUUUCAAUAUUGUAUUAUUAAGUUGAAUAAAUUUUUGUAAACUUUUGAAUGACUAUGUAAUUUGAUUAGAAUUACUUUGAAUAAUUUUCACAAUAAAUGUGUAGAAAAAUUAUGUGU
rnacentral:lncRNA from 1 species